CUUAUCAUUGCUGCUGAGUUCCUACCAGUGGAAUGGCACAAAUAUUUUAUUUUUAAAUCUUUAAGGGAAAAAAGAUCAAUUUAUACCACAUUACUCCCAUCCACUGAUUCUUUCUGAAAAAGGGUGGGAAAUACAUUUUUAGAAUUCAAAUGAGAAUUAGCAUUAAAAAUUUGUGUUUUAAAAAAGCAGAUGGUUUUUGAAGGUAAAGAAUAUCUUUAGAAUCUCUGCAAAAUAUAAAUUCCUUCCAGAUCACAAGCAGAAUUCUACUAAAGACUUCAUUCCUGUAUAAAACAAGGAGAUAUACUGUCAGGGUGUUUGGAGAGAUGAGCUGUGCAUAAAUGAAUUAUCUGAGUAGUGGAGUGAGUGGAUAUAAAACACCACAAACUACAAGCAAAGCGCUGAUGGAAACACAAAGUCAGUUAAAAUAUGAAACAAGACAAAAUCUUAUUUCCUCUGGUACAAGACUACUCCAACAAUAGCUAUUGGGAAAGGCUGAUGACACUUUGCUCACCACUUAUCAACAUGAAAGAACGAAAGCUUUUUACUCUACUGCUGAUUAAUCAUUACUGCGGUCAAACUGGAGAGGAUUAACAAAUUUUAGUAAUCCAGAAUGUGUUUUUUUCAAUUACCAUAGUCCCCAAAUGUGCCACAUGCAUUGUGAGAAUGAACAUCAUAUUGACAACCUACUGCUAUAAAAAAAAAUGUAUGUACUUUAUCUUGAUAAAC